rnacentral:rRNA from 1 species
AGAGUUUGAUCCUGGCUCAGGACGAACGCUGGCGGCGCGCCUAACACAUGCAAGUCGAACGAGCGAGAGAGAGCUUGCUUUCUCGAGCGAGUGGCGAACGGGUGAGUAACGCGUGAGGAACCUGCCUCAAAGAGGGGGACAACAGUUGGAAACGACUGCUAAUACCGCAUAAGCCCACAGCUCGGCAUCGAGCAGAGGGAAAAGGAGCAAUCCGCUUUGAGAUGGCCUCGCGUCCGAUUAGCUGGUUGGUGAGGUAACGGCCCACCAAGGCAACGAUCGGUAGCCGGACUGAGAGGUUGAACGGCCACAUUGGGACUGAGACACGGCCCAGACUCCUACGGGAGGCAGCAGUGGGGAAUAUUGCACAAUGGGGGAAACCCUGAUGCAGCGACGCCGCGUGGAGGAAGAAGGUCUUCGGAUUGUAAACUCCUGUUGUUGAGGAAGAUAAUGACGGUACUCAACAAGGAAGUGACGGCUAACUACGUGCCGGCAGCCGCGGUAAAACGUAGGUCACAAGCGUUGUCCGGAAUUACUGGGUGUAAAGGGAGCGCAGGCGGGAAGACAAGUUGGAAGUGAAAUCUAUGGGCUCAACCCAUAAACUGCUUUCAGAACUCUUUUCUUGAGUAGUGCAGAGGUAGGCGGAAUCCCCGGUGUAGCGGUGGAAUGCGUAGAUAUCGGGAGAACACCAGUGGCGAAGGCGGCCUACUGGGCACCAACUGACGGUGAGGCUCGAAAGUGUGGGUACCAACAGGAUUAGAUACCCUGGUAGUCCACACCGUAAACGAUGAUUACUAGGUGUUGGAGGAUUGACCCCUUCAGUGCCGCAGUUAACACAAUAAGUAAUCCACCUGGGGAGUACGACCGCAAGGUUGAAACUCAAAGGAAUUGACGGGGGCCCGCACAAGCAGUGGAGUAUGUGGUUUAGUUCGACGCAACGCGAAGAACCUUACCAAGUCUUGACAUCCUGCGACGCACAUAGAAAUAUGUGUUUCCUUCGGGACGCAGAGACAGGUGGUGCAUGGUUGUCGUCAGCUCGUGUCGUGAGAUGUUGGGUUAAGUCCCGCAACGAGCGCAACCCUUACUGUCAGUUACUACGCAAGAGGACUCUGGCAGGACUGCCGUUGACAAAACGGAGGAAGGUGGGGAUGACGUCAAAUCAUCAUGCCCUUUAUGACUUGGGCUACACACGUACUACAAUGGCGUUAAACAAAGAGAAGCGAGACCGCGAGGUGGAGCAAAACUCAGAAACAACGUCCCAGUUCGGACUGCAGGCUGCAACUCGCCUGCACGAAGUCGGAAUUGCUAGUAAUCGUGGAUCAGCAUGCCACGGUGAAUACGUUCCCGGGCCCAUUGUACACACGCGCCCGU